GGAGCGUUCUGUAAGCCGUUGAAGGUGUGUUGUAAAGCAUGCUGGAGGUAUCAGAAGUGCGAAUGCUGACAUGAGUAACGACAAGGGGGGUGAAAAACCUCCCCGCCGGAAGACCAAGGGUUCCUGUCCAACGUUAAUCGGGGCAGGGUAAGUCGACCCCUAAGGCGAGGCCGAAAGGCGUAGUCGAUGGGAAACGGGUUAAUAUUCCCGUACUUCUUACAAUUGCGAUGGGGGGACGGAGAAGGCUAGGUGGGCCUGGCGACGGUUGUCCAGGUUCAAGUGCGUAGGCUUGAGGGUUAGGUAAAUCCGGCUCUCUCUAAGGCUGAGACACGACGUCGAGCUACUACGGUAGUGAAGUCAUUGAUGCCAUGCUUCCAGGAAAAGCCUCUAAGCUUCAGAUUGUAAGGAAUCGUACCCCAAACCGACACAGGUGGUCGGGUAGAGAAUACCAAGGCGCUUGAGAGAACUCGGGUGAAGGAACUAGGCAAAAUGGUACCGUAACUU
rnacentral:rRNA from 1 species